CAAUGGCCGGGCGGUGGCCAUGGCAACCUCUUAAUUUAUAGCAUAUCUAAAUUGGCUCCAGCCUCGCGCUUGGCACAGAGGGGAAAAAACAGAAGGCAACCCUUUUGUUGAGGGGCGAGAUUUUCACCUGGCUUGCCCGGGGAAGCUGAAGCGGGGAGAGACCGGCAAGCACCAGCGGCGGCUGCAGGAGUUUGCUACACACAGUAAUGUCAGCUAAUGCUGGAAGUUAGAUGAGAGGUACGAGAAAGACAAGAAUGGCAGACCAUCUCUCUGGUGUGCAGUGUGUCCAA
rnacentral:lncRNA from 1 species